rnacentral:rRNA from 1 species
CAAUAGCGUAUACUAAAGUUGUUGCAGUUAAAAAGCUCGUAGUUGGAUUUCUGGCUCGGCAAGCCUAGCCCGAGGACCUGGUGUCCUUGUGAGCUGGCGCUUGUCGGCCAUCCUUCAGGAGAGUGUUUCUGCCCUUGAUUGGGUUGGGGACAGGAUCCUGAUCGUUUACUUUGAAAAAAUUAGAGUGUUCAAAGCAGGCGUGUGCUGUGAAUACAUUAGCAUGGAAUAAUAAGAUAGGACUUCGGCCCUAUUUUGUUGGUUCUGGAGCUGAGGUAAUGAUUGAUAGGGAUAGUUGGGGGUGCUCGUAUUCAACGGCCAGAGGUGAAAUUCUUGGAUUCGUUGAAGCCGAACUUAUGCGAAAGCAUUCACCAAGGAUGUCUUCUUUAA